AGUAACGCGUAAACGACCUGCCGCAAAGAUGGGGACAACAGUCCGAAAGGACUGCUAAUACCGAAUGUUGUCAGAUUCCCGCAUGGGAGACUGAUUAAAGAUGGCCUCUACUUGUAAGCUAUCGCUUUGCGAUGGGUCUGCGUCUGAUUAGCUAGUUGGUGGGGUAACGGCCUACCAAGGCGACGAUCAGUAGCCGGUCUGAGAGGAUGAACGGCCACAUUGGAACUGAGACACGGUCCAGACUCCUACGGGAGGCAGCAGUGGGGAAUCUUCCGCAAUGGGCGAAAGCCUGACGGAGCAACGCCGCGUGAGUGAAGAAGGGUUUCGGCUCGUAAAGCUCUGUUGACGGGGACGAAGUGCGAGAUGCGAAUAGUUUCUUGCAAUGACGGUACCCGUCGAGGAAGCCACGGCUAACUACGUGCCAGCAGCCGCGGUAAUACGUAGGUGGCGAGCGUUGUCCGGAAUUAUUGGGCGUAAAGGGAGCGCAGGCGGGAAGGCAAGUCAGUCUUAAAAGUGCGGGGCUCAACCCCGUGAUGGGAUUGAAACUGUCUUUCUAGAGUGCAGGAGAGGAAAGCGGAAUUCCUAGUGUAGCGGUGAAAUGCGUAGAUGUUAGGAGGAACACCAGUGGCGAAUGCGGCUUUCUGGACUGUAACUGACGCUAAGGCUCGAAAGCGUGGGGAGCGAACAGGAUUAGAUACCCUGGUAGUCCACGCCCUAAACGAUGAGUGCUAGGUGUAGGAGGUAUC
rnacentral:rRNA from 1 species